UGCUCUCACACACCCAGACGCGCGCGUGCGCGCGCGCGCAUCCCUGGGCCAUGGGGUGCACGUGAGCCCACAGACCGCACACCCAGCCCUGCCUCUAGCCAGAGCAUCCUCAGCAGCUGCCACUGAAGCAGCCUCCUCCUUUUCUUCCUCCUCCUCCUUCCACAGCCACUGCUGCUGCUGUGAUCGCCUAUCCCCUCUCAUCCUUCUUCCUCCUCCAAUUCCUGCUCCUCCCCCCCCCCAUCCCCGGCUCCGUUACCUAACAAAUACGCUAAGGCAGAACUUAAAUGUGAUUUAGCACUGACUAUAUGAUGCUACCUACCUUAACACUGCUGUUUUCAGUUGGAGGAGGGAGCAUCUUCAUGUCACAGUAUAACAGUCUUUUGGGCAACUCAACUCCAAAAAACAAUCACCAGACUUUAACAAACAUUUGAGACAUUGAAUAUAUUGAUUCCUUGUCUCAAAUCCAAUUUGUAUUCCAGUAGUCUUAGGAUAAGGACACACUAGAAAGCUAGAAUGUUCUCUGCCUUCCUCUGUGGAUUCAUCUCAUUUUACUGUCCCUCUCACUGUGUUCUCUAACUCUAGCCACAUGUUUUAUCUCUUAAUGUCACUAAGUUCAUCUGUGUCUGGUUUAUUAUAUUUCUUGACUAUUUGUCUUCCUCUCAUCUGGCUCCCACUUCUAGAGGGCUGGCUGUAUUAAUUAAGGCCUUUGGCCACCAUUAUGUUCUCAUCACCUAAUAUGGUGCCUGACAUGCAAUGGUUUCCCAAUAAAUAUUUAUUGAGUAAGUUCA
rnacentral:lncRNA from 1 species